GAAGUCUUUGCCCAGCAGGAGGUAGUGUGAAGUGGACGCCAGCAGAGUGCAGAGCGGCGCGGGCGGGCAGAGCUGCUUCGGGACUCCGGGUUUGCUGGUUCGGUGAGGCCUCGUCGAGGUGCCGCGGCCUGACGAUGGAGGGACGGCAGGUGGUAUUCUGAGGCGCUGACGGAGAUCUACGUGGAUAUUGUGGUGUUCUGCUCCUUCUCUGGUAUCACUCGUGUAGCAGCGUGACUGAGCGUCUGACCCUCUACCAGCCCCGUGUCCUCGCCGACCCUCCUCGUCCCGCUAGAUUGCACUCCUGUCUGGUAGUGAUGAGGGAAUACAAAGGAUAUAACGAAAUGGGGAAACAAACUCUGAAGACGAACCAGCGCGGGUAGUGGUUGGUCCCGGCCUUCGUUGUUCACCACUCCGUCCGCACCUCCUUUCCCUGAGACUCCUCCCGGCGUCACUUCCCGGGCGUCGCUUCCCCUGGUGGUGCAGUUGCUUGGUCCUUCACAGCAGGUUAUGUAAGCAUCGAAAUGUGCCCAUUGAAAAAGGUAGCAGUCACAUCUAUUAUGUCAACAACGAUAGGCUGGAUCAGCAGGAGACGACGACGACACCGUCACUUACUGCUGGAUGUGAUGGCUGUACUAGGUUCAAGACCGGUCUCGCAAAUCGUUUCCUGUGUGUGUGUGUAGUUCAGCUCCGUCUAUACAAUAAAAUAUGCUUCCCAC